GAGACUCACCACUACCUACUACUCGAAGCAGUUUCUUUCAAAGGUCUCAACUGAUCUUUACAAACAUACUGUGCUAUCAAAACACUAUCUCAAAGCCAUUUAUCACUGAUCCCCAUUUGAGAAAGUUGACCACCUGCCCUUAUCUAGGCACCAUAAAGGCAUUCAUGGUUUGUGCUAGGUUGAUCAAACAAAUGUUAAACAAACCUUUCAAAGUGCCCAAGCUUACCACAAAUAAAGCAAAAUGUAGAAAGACACUCAUAUUUAAAGGUGACCCAAAACCCAAUCUCUGCCA
rnacentral:misc_RNA from 1 species